GAUGAACGCUAGCGGGAGGCUUAAUACAUGCAAGUCGAGCGGCAAGGUCUUCGGACCCUAGAGCGGCGCACGGGUGCGUAACGCGUAUGCAAUCUACCUUUAACCGGUGAAUAGCCCGAAGAAAUUCGGAUUAAUACACCAUAGUAUGAUGAGGAGGCAUCUCCUUAUCAUUAAAGUUCCGACAGUUAAGGAUGAGCAUGCGUGACAUUAGCUAGUUGGUGAGGUAACGGCUCACCAAGGCCACGAUGUCUAGGGGAUCUGAGAGGAUUAACCCCCACACUGGUACUGAGACAGGGACCAGACUCCUACGGGAGGCAGCAGUAAGGAAUAUUGGACAAUGGUGGCAACACUGAUCCAGCCAUGCCGCGUGAAGGAUGAAGGCCCUAUGGGUUGUAAACUUCUUUUGUACGGGAAAAAACCUUCUUACGUGUAAGAAGCUGAUUGUACUGUAAGAAUAAGGAUCGGCUAACUCCGUGCCAGCAGCCGCGGUAAAGUGUG
rnacentral:rRNA from 1 species